rnacentral:rRNA from 1 species
GAUGAACGCUGGCGGCGUGCUUAACACAUGCAAGUCGAACGGAAAGGCCCAAGCUUGCUUGGGUACUCGAGUGGCGAACGGGUGAGUAACACGUGGGUGAUCUGCCCUGCACUUCGGGAUAAGCCUGGGAAACUGGGUCUAAUACCGGAUAGGACCACGUCUUGGAUGUUGUGGGGGAAAGUUUUUUCGGUGUGGGAUGAGCUCGCGGCCUAUCAGCUUGUGGGUGGGGUAAUGGCCUACCAAGGCGUCGACGGGUAGCCGGCCUGAGAGGGUGUACGGCCACAUUGGGACUGAGAUACGGCCCAGACUCCUACGGGAGGCAGCAGUGGGGAAUAUUGCACAAUGGGCGCAAGCCUGAUGCAGCGACGCCGCGUGGGGGAUGACGGCCUUCGGGUUGUAAACUCCUUUCGCUAGGGACGAAGCGUUUUUGUGACGGUACCUGGAGAAGAAGCACCGGCUAACUACGUG